rnacentral:rRNA from 1 species
AUUGAACGCUGGCGGAAUGCUUUACACAUGCAAGUCGAACGGUAGAGGGGGCAACCCUGGUGGCGAGUGGCGAACGGGUGAGUAAUACAUCGGAACGUGCCCAGUCGUGGGGGAUAACGUAGCGAAAGCUACGCUAAUACCGCAUACGAUCUAUGGAUGAAAGCGGGGGAUCGCAAGAACUCGCGCGAGUGGAGCGGCCGAUACCAGAUUAGGUAGUUGGUGGGGUAAAGGCCAGCCAAGCCAACGAUCUGUAGCUGGUCUGAGAGGACGACCAGCCACACUGGAACUGAGACACGCGCCAGACUCCUACGGGAGGCAGCAGUGGGGAAUUUUGGACAAUGGGCGAAAGCCUGAUCCAGCCAUUCCGCGUGCAGGAUGAAGGCCCUCGGGUUGUAAACUGCUUUUGUACAGAACGAAAAGGUUUCUACUAAUACUAGGAGCUCAUGACGGUACUGUAAGAAUAAGCACCGGCUAACUACGUGCCAGCCGCCGCAGUAA